UGGGGAAUAUUGCACAAUGGGCGCAAGCCUGAUGCAGCCAUGCCGCGUGUGUGAAGAAGGCCUUCGGGUUGUAAAGCACUUUCAGCGAGGAGGAAGGUGGUGGACUUAAUACGUUCAUCAAUUGACGUUACUCGCAGAAGAAGCACCGGCUAACUCCGUGCCAGCAGCCGCGGUAAUACGGAGGGUGCAAGCGUUAAUCGGAAUUACUGGGCGUAAAGCGCACGCAGGCGGUUUGUUAAGUCAGAUGUGAAAUCCCCGGGCUCAACCUGGGAACUGCAUUUGAAACUGGCAAGCUAGAGUCUCGUAGAGGGGGGUAGAAUUCCAGGUGUAGCGGUGAAAUGCGUAGAGAUCUGGAGGAAU
rnacentral:rRNA from 1 species